rnacentral:misc_RNA from 1 species
GCGCAAGGUGGAAUCGAGUCGAGAAAGAGCCACAGAGCGAGUGAGAGAGAGCAGCAGCAGCGAGUUGUUUCGCCCCAAGGAAAGAAAAUCUUUUUGGUCGAGAGAAAUUCUCGUGCGUGUGUGUGUGUGUGUCUUGACUGUGAGAAGAGUUGGUGCUUUGUAUAAUUUUAUUAUACGUUGCAGUUGUUGUUUGGGAGUCACUGCCAAGUAGGCUACUUUCCGUUCGAAACUUUGUAUCGUUUUGAUUGCUGCACACACACUACACAUUGUGUGUGUACGUUUGUCGAUCGCUUUUAAGCAGCAGAGAAGAAAAUCCCCCAUCAUCGUGUGUGUGUGUGUAUCUAUCGUUAGAGAGAAACACACACACACACACGUAUACGUAAGACGUUACGUGCUGCACCAACACACACACUUGCCCCGUUGAAAAAGCGUAACGGUGAGCGAGGCCCGGUCGCGAGAGGAAUGCCAAUCGCGAUCGAUUUCAUGGCCGUUCAUCCACCGCCGUCGUCGGCCGUCGUGCCAGGUCGCUAAAUCACAAACUUCUCAAUUCAUCAGUUCACAAAAAACCCAACAAUUCAAGAAAAGUACAACCAACCAACUCGACAAUCAGACAUUGGCCCAUUUGGUUCUUCUCGUCCGUCAGCGAGGAAAGUAUCCCGCCGUUAUCGGGACGAUAUGACCGAACAGCAACUGCCUCAAUCGAACGAUAUGAAUUCGGCAUCACCGCUCAGCAGUUCCUUUGUGACGUCGCACCGACGGCCCGAAAUGGUGGUCGGUCCGGUCGUUGGCUCCUCUUCUUCCGGCUCGUCGGUUUCAUCGGCCGUCACGUCGGCCAGUCCGGCUGCCAACAACAACAACAAUCUGCCCAGCUACAGGGAGCAGGCCGAAAUCCAUCAUCAGAUAAUGCAGCUCAAGCAGCAGCAGCAACUGCAGCAACAAGUCCUCCUUCAGAGGUACCAGGCCCAGCAGCAGCAGCUGGCCCACCAACAUGAGCAGCAAAUGCAGGAAUUUCUGGAACAGAAGAAGAAAGCGGAAGAAGAGGCUCGUCUGGAACGGGAGAGGCACGAAAAGGAGCGAUUGCUGGCCCUCAAGAACAAGGAGAAGCGCGAGCAGAGCGCCGUGGCUUCCUCCGAAGUCAAACAAAGACUGCAGGAAUUCGUGUUGAAUAAGAAGCAACGCGAAGCGGCAGCGGCGGCCGCAGCUGCCGGGAAUGGAACUGCCAAUGCGCCCAGCUCCUCGUCGGCCCCGUACCGAGCCUGGACUGGAGCUGUGCCGACCCUACCGGCCAGCCAUGGAUGCAGCAACAACAAAGGAUCCACCUCGCAAUUAUCCAGCGGAUUGGGCUCGUCGGGGAGCGGCAACAGCAGCAACGGCGUCGGUGGCAACAGUUCGUCGUGUUCAUCCUCUUCGUCCAGCGGCAUUGUCCAUCCUCAUCCCUAUCGCCAUCCGCUCCUUUCCGGCAAUUUCGACGACGACUUUCCUCUCCGCAAAACCGCGUCGGAACCCAACCUGCUCAAAAUGCGGUACAAACAUCGUGGGACGGUGGAGCGUCGCAACUGCAGUCCGUUGGUGGCCCGGCGGAGGGGUGGCGUACCUCACCACCACCUCUCGGCGGGUAGCGGCCCGGUCCUGCCUGGCCAUCAUCACCUACCGCCACCGCCGCCGCUUCACCACCGCCAAGCCCCGCCACCAGCCCACUCGUCGUCGGUCGCCUUGGCCGCUAAGCGGAUGUCGCAGCUUACAAGUCAAGACACGGGUGGAAGCACUCCGGAAUCGCCUUCCGGUGCCGGAUCUCCGCUUGGCUCUCAUCAUCCUUCGUCAGGAGUUGUACCUGAGGAGAUCAGUCCGUCUCAGUACCACCUUAUGGCCAGUCAUGGUCAGGGAAGCAUUUCGGAUCUGACGCUCUAUUCUAGCCCGUCUUUACCCAACAUAUCUCUUGGGCGGCCCGCAAUAGCCAGCCAUCAUGCCGCCGAACCUCCCGGAUUGGCCAUGGUCAGCGAAGUGGUGGACAUGCGCGCAGCUUUCUCCGUCCGUAUGGGACUGCCGGCCACAGGAGCCGGCCAUCAUCCGCUUUACCAGCAACCGCAACCUCAGCACCACCCUCAUGCUCAUCCUCUCCAUCAACAUCACCACCUCCUCAUGCCGUCUGGCCCGCCUUUCUUCCCGCCGCCGCCGCUGGAUUCCGGCGGAGGCGACUACGGAUCCAGCGGAGGCAGUCCCGAAUCGCCCGGCUACAUUCAAAAGCAAAUGCAACUGCUGGAGCAGGCCGGCCAUCACACACAAAUUCUGAUGAGCGGACUCUACAACGGCGCGCCCAUCACCGACGCACAGGUCGCCCAGGCGAGAUUGAACAAAUCAGGAAUGCGUCCGUUAGGACGGACGCAAUCGGCUCCUUUGCCGCUGGGCCACCCGCUGCUGCAGGGAGCCCCGCACGGAGUGAUGCCCACCGUGCCGUUGACGCAGCAGCAAUUCGACCAGUAUGUCCGCGAACGUCACAUCUACGAACAACAACAUCAGCACAAUUUGCUCAAACAGCAAAUCCGCCAGACGGUCUUGACUCGGGCGGGUAGCCGGAGCCAAGUAGAAAACGUGGAGGAAGAAACGGAAGCGGCCGUGGCUCGAGAAAUGUCACGCGACCGCGAACGGGGUGCCCCUCUGCCGGAAGUCAUCGAUUUAACUGAGCACAAAUUGGAGGAAGAGGCCGAAGCCGACCGGCACUCUUCGCGGGACGGCCUUUCGCCCCUUCAGUUGCGCGUCUCCAGCACAAGAAGUUCCCUUCAAGCCAGUCCAGGUUCGGCCUUUGUUCCACGUGGCCAUCAUGUCGCCCGGCCGUUGUCUCGGGCAUUUUCCAGUCCUUUGGUCUCCCUCGACCCACCCGGUGCUGGCCCUUCCGGAGCAGGUGAGAGCGGAGGCGCUGUGGUGCCCAUGACUUUGGCGGCGGCCGGAUGGGGUCCGUCGGCCGGCGGUGCCAAGACGGGCAGCACCAGCACCGCGCUGGCCUACGACGGCCUCAUGUUGCGACACCAGUGCAUGUGUGGCAGCAACAGCGCCCACCCGGAGCACGGCGGCCGCCUGCAGAGCAUCUGGGCCCGUCUCCAGGAGACUGGAGCCGUCCACCGCUGCCUGCGGCUCCGCUCGCGCAAGGCCACGGCCGAGGAGCUCCAGUCGGUCCACUCUGACGUCUACACGAUGCUCUUUGGCACGGAACCCAUGCACCGUCCCAAGGUGGACGUCAAUCGCUUCGCCGAAUUGCCCAUGAAGAAUUUCGUCAUGUUGCCGUGCGGCGGCAUCGGCGUCGACUCGGACACGACCUGGAACGACAUCCACACGCCUUCCGCCGCCCGGAUGGCUGCCGGCUGCGUCAUCGAUCUGGCCUUUAAGGCUGCCAUGGGCGAGAUUAGGAACGGUUUCGCCAUCGUCCGCCCGCCCGGUCACCACGCCGAAGCCCAGCAAGCCAUGGGAUUUUGCUUCUUCAAUUCGGUCGCCAUAGCAGCCAAACAGCUCAGACUCAGGCACAAACUUGAGCGCAUCCUCAUCGUCGACUGGGACGUCCAUCACGGUAAUGGAACCCAGCAAAUCUUCUAUGAAGACCCUCACAUCUUGUACAUUUCCAUCCAUCGCCACGACGACGGUCAUUUUUUCCCUGGGACUGGUAACCCUCUUGAGUGCGGCUCCGAAGACGGAAUUGGAUUCAACGUCAAUAUCGCUUGGUCCGGUGGACUUAAUCCGCCAUUAGGAGAUGCCGAAUAUCUGGCCGCUUUCCGCGCCCUUGUUAUGCCUAUUGCUCAAGAUUUCGACCCAGAAAUUGUUCUGGUUUCAGCUGGAUUUGACGCCGCAACGGGACAUCCGUCUCCUCUGGGCGGCUACCAAGUGUCGGCCGCCUGUUUUGGCUACAUGACGCGACAACUAAUGGAGUUGGCCGGCGGUAAACUUGUCAUGGCGCUCGAAGGUGGCUAUGAUUUACCGGCCAUCUGCGACGCCUCGCACGAGUGCGUCCGGGCCCUGCUCGGUGACGAGCCAGUGCCCAUUCGUGAAGAAGAACUCGCCAGGCGGCCGUGCCAAAAUGCCAUUGAUUCGCUCCAUAAAGUCAUUUCGAUCCAGCAACCUCACUGGCCCAUUAUCAAGCGCUACGCCUUUUCCGUCAGCCUGUCGGCGUACGAAGUCGAAGGAGUAGGCCGGUCGCGUAGUUUCAGCGGCGGCAAUGGAGCCGGAUCGCUGGAAGGCGGCGAGGACAGCGAAACACUUUCAGCCAUGGCCGGCCUCUCGGUCUGCCGCACUGAUAGCAGCAAAAGCAUCGCGUCCUCGUCCAGAGAGUUGUCACAAGAGCCGAUGGAUCAAGACGAAUCUAAGUGAAACGGAAUCUAAAAAAGAAGAAAAAACAAAAUGAAUUCUUGUGUUUUUGUUUUAGUGUUAAUUGGAAGGGGGUGGGGGAUUUAUUUGAAAAGCGGACAAAGAAGCCCGAACAGAGAAAGAAGAAUAUUUUGAGAGAAAAAUGGCGCUAUUUUUUUUUUAAAGUUUUUUAGCGCCGUUAAACGUACAGAACAUACAGAGUUGGCGAUCUCGUUUGUGGGCCACGGAAUAGUUUUCUUUUUUUUUUCUGUUUUGUUUUUGGUUUUGUUUUUUUUUGUUUAUUUUUCGUGUGCGUGUUUUUUUUUUUUUUGUUUUGUUUUUCUAAAAAAUUGGAAGAUUUAAGGCGGGGGAGGGGGUGGAGACGAAAAGUGAGACGGAAAUCAUUCCACGCAUCAAUACGAUUGGGAUAUAUAUAUAUAUAUUUACAUAAACAAUGCAUAUUAUACAUAGGCAUACAAAUCAAGAGGGAAAAAAUGAAACGACGAAGGGUCGGUUGAUGAUCGGUAGACGACCUUUCUUUUUUUCUGUUAUGUUGUUGUUGUUGUUGUAUCCUUCUUUUUACUCCCCCUUCUCUUUUGUCUAUUCUCUGUUUGUUUUAUUAUUAUUAUUUUCAAUUUACAAUGGUCCAACACUUGCUAUCAAUCUUAGGAUAUUUUUGUCAAGGAAAGUAAAUCAUUUGAUGGAGGGCAGAGAAGGGACAUGUAUGCACUCAAUUAAGCGGUGGACAAACCAACCAAAAUUUCGUUACGAACAGACACAGAUUUAAUGUUGCGCAUUUUACGCCCAAAGAAACAUGGAACUUGAUGUACCAUCCCACCCAAAAUCGAUUGUUUUGAACUCGCCAUUCUCUCUCGAUUUGAUGAUGGACAGCCCAACACAAGGAGGACAGCAAACGCGCAACAAACCAAAAAAGGGGAAAGAAAUGAGACACCCAACCGUCGAUAUUUGAAAAAAUUUAAAAGACAUUGACAACUGUCAAAACAAAAAAAAGGGAGAAAGAAAAAAAGUAAUCGUCUCGUUCGGCGCACUCCCCGUCGCAAAUUGUCCGAUCUGAAACAUUCCCUGCAAAAAGAAGUUGAUUCUCUCUCUCUCUCUCUCCUUUCAAAUUCAUUUUCCCGUUCGUUUCCUUUCUUUCUUGAUUCGAUGGAAUUAUCAAACACGCGCAAUUUUGGAUUGGCAAGUUUUUGGGGUUUAUAUUUUUGAUUUUUCAAUGUUGGUUGUCCCAUAUGCGUUUAUUUUGAUUCAUGUGAAAUCCCACUCGAUUCUUUUCUCCACUUGGAAGAGAUGAAACUCCUAGUCAGUUGCACACACACACACACACAAACACUGGUGAAUGAUUUGGAAUGGUUUCAUUUUGGAAGUUUGUGUUUAUUUCUUUGAAAUUAUUUGACUUGUUGGAUUUAUUGCCGCCACCCCACUUGUUCCCGAAAAGAAAACAAUUCACAGCAACCACCUCCUGUUAAGAAAUAAAAUAUUAGACGAGAGCAGCUGGCCAUCUCCGUCUCCACGCACAUGUUUCCCCCCUCCGAUUUCAAUUUGAAAAAGAAAAGAAGAAGAAGAAAAGCGUCCGUAUUGCCCAGAAAUCCGUGUCCUGUGCCCUCGAUAUCUUUUUAGAAAAUGUUUGUCAUAUUCACACAAGAAAAUUGUCAAAGAUGCGAAGGAAAAAAAAAAAGAAAUUCACGUCGCCAUUUCAAAAUGUUGUUUCCUGCGGAUCGCAUUUCUUUUUAAUUUUUCCUCGUGAGCUUUUUUUGGACAAUUCCGACCAGAAACGGAAAACACAAAAUUUCAUUUGAUUAUUAUUAUUUUUUUUUAUUCGGGGGAAUUUUAUUAUUCGGUCGUUGUUUGAAAGGAAAUUAUAUCUCCUACUCCCAUUUUGUCCGUGUUUCACUCUUAUUUUUCUUGUUGCUUGUGUUUUAUUUUGCGUCUAAUUCACCUCCUGAUAUCUCGCACUCUGUACAACUGAUGUCGAUGGUCGUGUGAGUGUCUAUUCAAUGUGACGUGAUGGCCGGUGACUGGGCGUUUGGACAUGUCGCUCGUUCAUUUAUUUUUCAUGUGAGAAAACAAAAAACAAAUUAAAACAAAUAGAUUUGA